rnacentral:tRNA from 1 species
CCGGCUGUAGUGUGCCGCCUUAAGGCGGCGAUGCACGCCCGGCGGGCGACCGGGAGGUCGUGGGUUCAAAUCCCACCCGGCGGA